rnacentral:rRNA from 1 species
AUUGAACGCUGGCGGCAGGCCUAACACAUGCAAGUCGAGCGGAUGAUUGGAGCUUGCUCCAUGAUUCAGCGGCGGACGGGUGAGUAAUGCCUAGGAAUCUGCCUGGUAGUGGGGGACGACGUUUCGAAAGGAACGCUAAUACCGCAUACGUCCUACGGGAGAAAGCAGGGGACCGUCGGGCCCUGCGCUAUCAGAUGAGCCUAGGUCGGAUUAGCUAGUAGGUGAGGUAAUGGCUCACCUAGGCGACGAUCCGUAACUGGUCUGAGAGGAUGAUCAGUCACACUGGAACUGAGACACGGUCCAGACUCCUACGGGAGGCAGCAGUGGGGAAUAUUGGACAAUGGGCGAAAGCCUGAUCCAGCCAUGCCGCGUGUGUGAAGAAGGUCUUCGGAUUGUAAAGCACUUUAAGUUGGGAGGAAGGGUUGUAAGCUAAUAUCUUGCAGCUUUGACGUUACCAACAGAAUAAGCACCGGCUAACUCUGUGCCAGCCGCCGCGGUAACAC